rnacentral:rRNA from 1 species
AACGAACGUUGGCGGCGUGGAUGAGGCAUGCAAGUCGAACGCGAAAGCCGCAAGGCGAGUAAAGUGGCGGACGGGCGAGUAACACGUAAUCAAGCUACCUGCGAGACGGGGAUAACUUCGGGAAACCGAAGCUAAGACCCGAUGGUCUUCUAGGAACGCAUGUUCCAUGAAGUAAAUGGGCGGGAUCCUCCGGGAUCGCCUGCUCGCAGAGGUGAUUGCGGCCCAUCAGCUAGUUGGUAGGGUAAUGGCCUACCAAGGCAACGACGGGUAGCCGGCCUUAGAGGGUGGUCGGCCGCACUGGGACGUGAGACACUGCCCAGACUCCUACGGGAGGCUGCAGUCGAGAAAUCUUCCGCAAUAGGGCGGAAAGACCUGACGGAGCGACGCCGCGUGGAGGAGUGAAGGACCGUCGUG